UACGUAGGGUGCGAGCGUUAAUCGGAAUUACUGGGCGUAAAGCGUGCGCAGGCGGUUUUGUAAGCCAGAUGUGAAAUCCCCGGGCUUAACCUGGGAAUGGCAUUUGGGACUGCAAGGCUUGAGUGCGGCAGAGGAGACUGGAAUUCCUGGUGUAGCAGUGAAAUGCGUAGAUAUCAGGAGGAAUACCGAUGGCGAAGGCAGGUCUCUGGGCAUUAACUGACGCUGAGGAGCGAAAGCAUGGGGAGCGAACAGG
rnacentral:rRNA from 1 species